AAUAGAUGUCUCUCUCUGAGAUGU
rnacentral:siRNA from 1 species